CUUGGGGGGUGGGAAGGUCCCUCAGCCCUGAUUGUGAGAGGGUGCAGGCCAGGCUGAGGGACCCCACCGGUGCACG
rfam:Myotis lucifugus cont2.19750, whole genome shotgun sequence.